rnacentral:lncRNA from 7 species
AAUCUUAAAAGCUUUGUCUUGCUUGCAUCCUUAAAUCACUGGAGCUAUCAGAAGAGAGCUGUUUGUAAUGGAAUAUCCAAAAACUGCAUGGGGCAUUUGAGCCACUGUGAUCAGGUUGAGGCAGAUGAAUUCAACCUCAAGUGUCAUAAACACCAGGAAACUGGGAGACUGUCACCGAUAUGCUUCUUCCCAGUCAGAACUAUCUUGAUGGGCGGAGAGAGACAUGGUGUUGAUUACAAUUUGAACCUUGACCUUGAAUAUUUAUAAAAGAUCUAGAAGGAUCUGUUUAAAGAAAUUCUUCCCUGUUUACCAUACAUUUCCCUGUCCUUCCUGCUUCCUGUUAUUUGCAUGCAGAUGAUAUCUGUGCGCCAGUGACUUAGAGAGAGAUAUCAAGAAAAACAGUGCUGCUUGGAACCAAGCAAAGCAUAAUUAAAAUGAAUUUUGC